rnacentral:misc_RNA from 1 species
GCAGAGAUUGCAUUGAGGUAGAAAUAAACAUUACAGCGUGUCAUUCAAAAAUAGAUAGGCUACAAUAAGCUUGAUGAAAGCUAAAGAAGUCCAAGCCUAAAAUUACAAACAAAUCCAUGGCCUAAGACAAUGAUUCCCACAAACCUAUAACCCACAAGUCGAAGCCAGCAUGCGAACCCUAUUAGAGCAUCAACCAAGAGGUAACUGCAACGAGAAAACCACGCUGCCUCAAACAUUAAAGGCUAGUCAUCAGACUGUUAAUUUGCCAAAUAAAAACUAAGGGCAUUCAAGCCUAAUCUUGAACAAUAUCCCAAGAAAGCUCUUCAAUGACUACAAGUGAGUGAAGGCAAGAAUCCAAAUCCAAUUGAAACACAAAACCAUGGGACAUCGGGAAGCAGCUAUAAGGAGGAUUGCACUUUAAGGAGGAUGAUUGCGAGAAGCUCUUUAAUAGAGGGUCAGCUUCUAAGUGAGUACACUCCAGAAGUUUGCUUGCCAGAGAAAGACCUCCACAACAAGAAACAAACAAUAAUAUAUCACUCAUAUGGGUUCCACAUGGAACAAGUAGGCCCUUCACCUUGACAAGUGAGCCAUCAUGUUUAGCCUCAACACUCCUUAUUUGAAGAAUAACAUUACUUCUCAUCUUGAAAUCCAAAACAUCUAUGUUCAUGAUCAAUUCUUAGGCCUUCUAGAGGAGAUUCCAAGGUUAAAACAUCAAGCUUUUGCUACCAUUAG